rnacentral:lncRNA from 1 species
UCGAUUUUUCCCAACUCUGCUCUGCAAAAAAACAACAAAAAUCCUUCCCUAGAAGCUCAAUUGAAGAUCAAAAGGAGUUCCUGUCAAAGAUUGAAGUUAGGAUUGAAGCUAGAAGACUAAAAUCGACGAUUGGAGGAAGAAGCUGUUAUCUCUUCGACUAGAUGAUGGUUUGGGUUUCUUUUGAUUUGUCUCCUUCGAGAAUCAUGAGUAGCUAAAUCUAUAGAGAUUUUUGGUUGAGAUGUAGGAUUUGAGCCAUGAUACCAGUCUUGAUUUUUAGAAACAACGAUUGUGG